UAUAAAGAGCAAAUAAAAUUACAUAACUGAACCAAAAUAAUUCAAUAGCAUUGUUACUGUAAUAUAAAAGAAAACCAACACUUUGAAACAGUACACUCAUUCAACCAAACUUUACCACUCGGCUACACAUAUUAGAAAAAUGGAAGGCAGUGCAAAGUAGAAAUAGGAAUCCAUUGUUCUCAAAAUGUUUUGUAAAUAAAAGUUUCAAAUGGCAUUCAAGAUACUUAAAUUUUAAGUUAAACAGAUGUUAAUCAAAUGUGCAAGAAACCGUUAACAGUACACUGGAGUAUAAAAUUGAGAAGUGAAGGACAUGUUGUGAUGAAACAUUAAAAGAAAUGUAAUCUUUUUAUCACAUAAAUGCAUUCCUUCUAACAAUCUACUAACAACAAUGUAAAUUCAAAAAACUCGCUGUAUAAAAACAUGAAAAAAAUUGUGUGUGAUCCCACAGUGGUUCAGGUUAUGUUGACUUCUCAGUCUCAGUCAUCUCUACAAGAAAACAAACUGCAAGAAAUGACAAACAGGCUGGAGAUGCUGAACCAGUCCCAUCACCUCCUGUUCACCCAGUAUCCUGCUCUGAACCACUACUGUCCCAUCAACAACUCUUCCACUGGUGAGAGAAAGUGCAGACCAUGUUUGAUUGACUGGACACUUCAAGGAGAGAAAUGUUUCUACUUCAGUGAGGAUAGAGCUGACUGGAUCAGUAGUCAGUACCUCUGCAUGUCACUGGGAGGCGCUGUGGCUACAAUCAAGACAGAGGAGGAGCAGGUGAUAAUAGACAUCUCUCCCUCUCAAAAAAAGAUUUAGUUGCAUUCAGUCACACAUUCAGUGGAAACCAUCUUGGGUCUCACAGCUUAAACAUAUUUUCAUAUAUCUUUAUAAGUGGGUUAUUGGCGCUCUGUUGGCAUUUUAUGCAUCUUCUGCACAUAUUUGGGGUUACUGUGCAAUAAGGUGUUCCAGAGUUUAUAUAUGCACAGGCUCCGCAUGUGCAUAUAUAGCCGUGCACAUAUACAUGCAUAGCAGCAGCAGUGAGUUUGGUUAAGAAUAGCUUUACGACAACUAAAAGGAGCGGAGGAAGCUUAAGGUCAUUGGAGGUUUAGUCUUUCAUUAAAUUUACAGCUCAUGUAACACAGAUUACAUCUGGAAUUUAUUAUCAUAAGCCAAGUUAAAGCAGAACUACUGAAGAAAAUUAAUUUGACCUCGAUGUUAUCAACUUUUUUCUCAGGAGUUUCUAUUUAAAAUGGCCCAGAGCAGGAACCAGGGAGACUCAUACUGGCUCGGUCUGAGGAGCAGCGCUGUGGACGGGACCUGGCAGUGGAGUGACGGCACCCCGCUGGAGAACGGACCACAGUUUUGGGAACAUGAGCCAGACGUCACAGAAGAGAGGAAGGAGCUCUGCGGUCGACUCACACCAGGAGACAAUUACAGGAAGAGCUGGUUCACCUCCAGCUGUUCUGGUCAGCUGAGGAGAAUCUGUGAGCGCAGACAAGCUUCCCUACAAUGACCAGAGUCAACGGCUUUCUUUUAUUAUUAUUAUUAUAUAUUUUUUUUUAAUUUACCUCCUAAAUCUUUUCUCUUGUAUAUUAAGGUGGUUUAACAUAGAAAACAAUAUAUUAGGGAUCAGUCGUAUUGUCCCACAUUUUCUGUCACUGUAUAAAGACGUAGAAAAUCCCUAGAAGCUAGAAGCAAAUAUUAGGAUCAUGUUUACAGGACUAAUUAGAGAACAGUGACUUUUUUUCAAAGAUGUUUUUUGUUACUCACUCAUUUUGAGCACUUGUUUAAACCCUACUUAUGCUUUCUACUUUUAUUUUUUUUAAUGGUGGAUUUUAUUUGUAAUUGGUCCUCAAAUUUUAUUUUUCUAUCUUUAUGAUUUUCAUAGUUUAGUAAUUUCAUUCUUCAUUUUGUAUCUGAAUUGUAUCUUUUGGCUGA